CAGAGUAGGAACAGCGCGUUAAGUGCGUCGGGAUGGGAAGUUGUCCGACGACGAAGGGGUACGCCCCACGGUGCUGCUGCCGCUUCCGCUGC
rnacentral:ncRNA from 1 species